CCUGGAGUUAGAGAACCUGUAAUAACCGGGUCCUAAUAAUGAAGAGACAGUAGACAAUCUGUGUGUGACAGCUGAAGCACUGACACAAGCUCACAGCUGACAUAACACUUGUUUUAGCAGCAGAACAGAGAACACAGGAAAUCUGUUAUUUUGUUCUCCAACAUAUCAACCAAAUACAGGAAACAGGAUAUUUCUAUAAUGAGGCCUUGAAGUGACCAUAAAACUAGACUGGAUCAAUAUGAAAACAGUCUAACAUUGUCGUGUUUUAAACCAGAGUUAAAACUAGACUGGAUCAAUAUGAACAACAGUCUAACAUUGUCGUGUUUUAAACCAGAGUUAAAACUAGACUGGAUCAUAUGAACAACAGUCUAACAUUGUUGUGUUUUAACCAGAGUUAAAACUAAACUGGAUCAAUAUGAACAACAGUCAACAUUGCGUGUUUUAAACCAGAGUUCUGGAAAACCUUCACAGAGCAAUUUAGAUCAGUACGACUCCUGAUUAUGUCUAAAUAUGACCAGAAACAGAACUAGUCCUUGCCUCUCACCAGUCCUCCCCACCUUCUCUCCUAUCUAUUAGAUGUAAAUGUUUUGUGGUGGAAUCCAUUGGCUUUAGCCUGGUCUCAGAUCUGUCUGUGCUCCUUGACAACUCCAGCGCGUUGCUGUGACAGAAUGGAGUUGGCAAGACAGCGCAGACAGAUCUGAGACAGGCUAUUGUGCGGUUGGAUCAGGCUGGAUAUUCCCCUCCACUCCGUUAGAUCAGGCGGAUUCCUCCUCCACUCAUCAGGCUGGAUAUUCCCCUCCCCGAUCAGGCGGUAUCCUCCUCCACUCAGUUAGAUCCUCAGUUAGAACAGGCUGGAUAUUCCCCCUCCACCAGUUAGAUCAGCAGGAUAUUCCUCCUCCACUCAGUUA
rnacentral:lncRNA from 1 species